rnacentral:rRNA from 1 species
GUACCUAAGCAGAAAGGCCACGGCUACUACGUGCCAGCAGCCGCGGUAAUGCGUAGGUGGCAAGCGUUAUCUGGAAUUAUUGAGAGUAAAGCGCGCGCAGGUGGUUUCUUAAGUGUGAUGUGAAAGCCCACGGCUCAACCGUGGAGGGUCAUUGGAAACUGGGAGACUUGAGUGCAGAAGAGGAAAGUGGAAUUCCAUGUGUAGCGGUGAAAUGAGUAGAGAUAUGGAGGAACACGAGUGGAGAAGUCGACUUUCUGGUCUGUAACUGGCAGUGAGGCGCGAAAGCGUGGGGAGCAAACAGGAUUAGAUUCCUUGGUAGUCCACGCCGUAAACGAUGAGUGUUAAGUGUUAGAGGGUUUCCGCCCUUUAGUGCUGAAGCUAACGCAUUAAGCACUCCGCCUGGGGAGUACGGCCGCAAGGCUGAAACUCAAAGGAAUUGGCGGGGGCCCGCACAAGCGGUGGAGCAUGUGGUUUAAUUAGAAGCAACGCGAAGAACCUUACCAGGUCUAGACAUCCUCUGACAACCCAAGAGAUAGGCCUUCUCCUUCGGGAGCAGAGUGACAGGUGGUGCAUGGUCGUCGUCAGCUCGUGUCGUGAGAUGUUGGGUUAACUCCCGCAGCGAGCGCAACCCUUGAUCUUAGUCGCCAUCAUUAAGUUGGGCACUGUAAGGUGCCUGCCGGUGACAAACCGGAGGAAGGUGGGGAUGACGUCAAAUCAUCAUGCCCCUUAUGACCUGGGCUACACACGUGCUACAAUGGACGGUACAAAGAGCUGCAAGACCGCGAGGUGGAGCUAAUCUCAUAAAACCGUUCUCAGUUCGGAUUGUAGGCUGCAACUCGCCUACAUGAAGCGGGAAUCGCUAGUAAUCGCGGAUCAGCAUGCCGCGGUGAAUACGUUCCCCGGCCUUGUCCCCACCCCCCGUCACACCACGAGAGUUUGUACCACCCGAAGUCGGCGGGGUAACCAAGUGGAGCCAACGUACCUCGUAGAGUUACCGCCC